rnacentral:rRNA from 1 species
AGAAUCAACGCUGGCGGCGUGCCUAACACAUGCAAGUCGAACGAGAAAGUGGAGCAAUCCAUGAGUAAAGUGGCGACCGGGUGAGUAACACGUGACUAACCUACCUUCAAGUGGGGAUAACCUCGGGAAACCGGGCUAAUACCGCAUAACAUCUUUGGAGUGGAAAUUCUGGAGAUCAAAGGAGCAAUUCGCUGGAAGAGGGGGUCGCGGCUGAUUAGCUAGUUGGCGGGUAAUGGCCCACCAAGGCUUUGAUCGGUA